UGGAUUGUACUGACAAAAGGAAGUGGAAAAAAACACGUUAUUGCCGACAUGCACAGUUGAUCAACUGCAAGAAUAAAUGCAAGGUUUUUAAAGAUCUGCCGAGCAAGAUUAGGUCACUGCAUUUUAGGGAUUCAGGAAACGUGCAGCUCAAGGCAAAAGCAUUUUCUCAGUCCAAGUAUAUACGUGUCUUGGAUUUAAGUGGAUGUUCAGUUGAAGGGCAACCUACUCCGAGCAGCAUAGUGUUGCCAACUUCAAUUCAGCAACUAAAGCUACUUAGGUACCUUGACGUCACAGGCUUGCCAAUUACAUCACUUCCAAACACUUUCCAUACACUUCGAAAUAUGCAAACUCUGAUUCUGUCCAAUUGCUCACUUGAAACCUUGCCCGAAAAUAUUUCAAGAUUCAAGAAACUUUGCUAUUUGGACCUAUCUAGCAAUAUAAACCUUAAAAAGCUCCCAACAUCAUUGGGGGAACUUUCCGACCUCUCCUUCCUUAACAUAUCAGGGUGCUUCCUACUCCAAGAGUUGCCUGAAUCAAUAUGUGAGCUUGCAAAUUUGUGGCACCUAGACAUGUCGAAGUGUUGUGCUCUUGAAAAACUCCCUGAUAAAUUUGGUAGCCUCCAUAAGCUCAUAUUCCUAAACCUAUCUUAUUGCUGCAAGCUAACCAAACUACCUACUAAUGUUAGCCUCGAGUCUUUAGAGCAUAUGAACCUAUCAAGUUGCCAUGAGCUAGAAAACUUGCCAGAAGUUUUCGGGAAUCUUUCAAAGCUUUGCUACUUGAAUCUAUCUGGUUGCUACAAGAUUGGCAUGCUGCCAGAAUCAUUCUGCCAGCUUGAGUAUUUGAAAGACUUAGAUGUUUCAGAUUGCCAUAACCUUACGGAACUUCCUAGUUGUUUUGGUAACCUUUCUGAGCUUGAGUCUUUGAACCUAACAAGUUGUCCGAAGCUACAACGGUUGCCCGAGUCAUUUCAUAAGCUAAUUAAACUGAAGCAUCUCAACUUGUCACAUUGUACAAGCCUCAAAAGGCUACCCUCUCUGUUUGCUGACCUUAACCUUCAAAUAUUGGACAUCAGUUGUGCUGCCCUGGAAGAUUUGCCAGAUAGCAUUUGUUAUAUGACUAGUCUCACCCAACUUCUGGUCAUGUCCGGACAUCCUAAGGUGGUUGAAAAAGCUAAAGCCGUUAGGAAGAGUCUAAAUUUUCCAGGCAUUGUUUUACACACUGUACAUGAGAUGGACAGCGAAAGAUUUAGCAGUAUUCUCGACCUUGCUCAGUUGACUUGCAAUGAGUUAUCAAUCCUUCAUCUUGAGAAUGUCAAACAUCCAGAUGAUGGAAAAAGAGCUAACCUGCGUGACAAAUCGGAACUUCAACUGCUAGGUCUUAGCUGGGAUCUCAAAGGCCAUGACCUACCAGAGAUGGAGAAUGAUGCACAGGAGGGGAAGUGUGUUCUAGAGAGCCUUGUACCACCUCGGACACUUGAAAACUUCGUGUUAGAUGGGUAUAUGAGCAAGGAAUUCCCUAACUGGAUGUCUCACAUCUCGUACUACCUUCCUUCUCUUACCUACCUCAGUCUUUCUGAUCUAGGAACAUGUGAGAAUCUUCCUCCAUUUGGGCAACUGCCGAAUUUAAGAAGCAUAUGUAUGCAUAACAUUCCAAACAUCAAGAAAAUCGGCCAUGAAUUCUAUGGCGAGGGUGGAACUUGCAGGAAAUUAAGAGAGAUAAAGUUGGAGUCGAUGGAGAAUUUGGAAGAAUGGUGGACAACAACGUCAGGUGAAGAAAGUGAAAAUUUCUGUAUUCCUGAUAUACUAAAGUUGCAACUAAAGGACUGUCCAAAGUUGAAAUUCCUUCCUUAUCCCCCAAGAAGUAUGAGAUGGCUAUUGGAUAAUAGUGACGAGGUGUUGCCCGAACAUGGAUUUGGGAGCCUUUCGUCUGCUAUUUUUCCUUUUGCCAUGAAGAUAGAGAACUGCAAUUUCUCUCCAGCCGAGUGGGAUAGACUUCAGCAUCUUUCCACCCUUGUGUGGCUUCAAGUUUCCUCCUGCCGUGUCUCAAGGGGCUUGACGGAUGUCAUCGGCUGCUUCUCUUCUCUAAGAGGGUUAAAAUUGAGUUUCUUAAAGGACCUAGAGACAUUGCCAGAGUGGUUGGGGCACUUCAAAUCUCUAGAAGUUGUUCACAUUCACGACUGUUGCAAAGUAACAUUUUUGCCUGAAACUAUGAAGAACCUCACCACUCUCAAACACCUGAUUUUGGGAACCUGCCAAGUCCUAAAUGCAUUACCAGAAUGGUUAGGCCACCUGACUUCCCUAGAAACAAUCAUCAUCGCUGAGUGCGGCAGUCUGGCAACAUGUUUGCCUGAAAGUAUGAAGAACCUCAUUGCUCUAAAAAAACUCAUGUUGUCUGGUUGCAAAGAAGUAGAAAUAUUGCCAGAAUGGUUGGGACAGCUCCUUUCCCUACGAGAGAUCUACUUCUCUCGCAACCCCAAGGUUACAUCUUUGCCUGAGAGCAUACAGAACCUCACCGCCUUGAUGGAGCUGCGAAUUAGGAACUGUCCAAGACUGAUUAGCAGGUGCCAAGGUGAGGAUGCCUACAAGAUUUCUCACAUCCCAACAGUGAUACUGGAUAACAAGAGAUAUAUGGGCGGCAUUGGAGAGCGUAGCUUUGGAGAGCAUAGCUUUGGCUUGUCUUGCCUUAUAAGCCCAAGUCGUCCCCUGAACAGCUUCGUUCUCGACCGCUUUGCCCAUCAGGCAUCUUAAGUCUUAACCAGGUGCACUUUUCUAGUGCAAAGCAUGACACUCCUACAUACAAGUACUUCUGCCUAAUUUAGUACCUGAUGUCUCGUGACAAUGACCCCCGUGCAGGGUAGAGAUUUUGAUGACUAAUGUUGGUCCCGCCGUGGGAAGGCAGCCAAAGUACCAACGGCACCACCGAGCCGCCGUCGCCGUCCCCAACGCCUGCGUGGGCAUCCUACUGCGAUCGGGCGGCCCUUCCCGGACCUUGAAGCUGCCACUGGCAUACAGUAUCACCAGGUAAACAUACGCACAUGCUCUAGUCUCAAAGAGUCAAAGCACGGCACCACCAUUAUAGCCAGCUAAUGUCUGCCGUAAAUGGCGGGCAGGGAAGGAAUAUUCCGAUGACCUCCGUGGAGCUGGUGGUGCCGGGGCCAAAACCGUUAGAGCUGUGCUGCAGGGGAGGGUUCCCGAUCGACAGCCGGUGAGCUUCGACCUGUCGCGCACGAACUUGGAGCUGGCGCCAUGGGGAACUGGACGCUGUUCGACGACAACUAAAUGUGCAGGUGGACAGGGCUUUGUGCGUGGGGAUCAUGCCAAUGGGGCCCGCCGGGCCGGCGGCGGUGAUCGGCGCGAAGCAGCUGGAGAACAACCUGCUGGUGUUCGACAAGGACAAGCAAAGGCUCGGGUUCAACAUGAUGCUGGGCUUGGCCUUGUCCAGUUGUACAAGCUCCAGGUUCUUCAGAAACUAGACAACACAACUCAGCAGGCGGCUCCAUAUCCAAGGCAGGCGUUGUACCGCUAUGCAGUGCACAGUAGAAUACGUUCUUGUGAGCGUCUCAAUAAAAACCUACUCUUGUAUCCAAACUCUCGUUCAGAAAAAUGUUAGAAUUAUGUCGAAUAUUUAUACAAGUUAGAUUACAAUUGGACUUGGAUUUAAACUAUGUAUAGACAGGAUUGAAAUCAGGAUACCUGUAUCCCUAGACCUCUUAUAUAAGGAAGUAGACACACGAUGUAACAUAUGCUAACAUAAUAGCACACACAUAGCGGGAGCCGGCGGCAUGUGCCUGCGCCCGAGCAGCCGAGGUGUGGUAUUGUUAUGGUGUCACGGAGAGGAGCACCCAUAUUCAGGCCUUGAAAAUGUAGCUAUAUCGGUGAACCAUGUUAAAAACUCUUGGUGUCGUGCUCAUGUAAUUGCUUGCUCCUUGAUAGAUCGACAGUGCUCCUUAAUACAAUCGACGGUGCACCUCCUAUAUCUUGUAGUGGUGGUAGAACUCUUGUCUUGUGCCCUCUGAACCAUAUUAUGUUUUGGCUGAACUUGUGUCGUGCCAGGAGAGUUUAUGGAUUUAUUCAAAAAACAAAUUGAAAUUCGGUUCAGCCUGGCAUUUUGCCCACCGAAGCAGCGUAAAAAUAAAAGGGAACAACUUGACAGAUAGGGCUGCUGUCUGUCGGUAUUACAUUAAGUACAGAUGAUGCAAAAACUUAGGAAGUCAGAAGACGUAGCAAUCUAGGGUGGUUGGGUAGAUCAGCAAGAUAACCGGUGUUCACAUCAUCACAUGUAUACAUAGAUUUUAAAACCGGUGGUACCCACUAGUUCCGAUGGUUGACUUGGCCGACAACCCACCCCAAGAGCCAUUCUGAAAAGAAAACCCACGCAAGAGCCGUUUAUAGGAGAAGAAAAGAAAGAAAGAAACAAGACUUGAGGGACUUGAUACCGUCAAUAAAUAAGGCACGACUGCAUCAUUUUCGGUUUAUAUGCCACGAUCGACUCACAUGGGCUGAUUUGGGUUUCAGAAACACAACGGUACUCGCAGGAGAGAGCGAGAGCUUGCUGCGAAGCCAUGGCUGAAAUCGCGGGGAUUCUUGCGAGCGCCGUGGGGAGUCGAAUCGCUGGCAAACUUGGCGAACUAGCCACGGAGGAAGCCACUUUGCAGUGGCAGUUCAAAGAGGACGUGGAGGACAUGGCAGAGAAGAUGAAAGAUCUGGAGGCCGUGCUGCGUGACGCGGACGAAAGGUCACGCCGAGGAGGAUCAGAUGGCCAAGUUGUUGGGCGAUGGCUCACAAAAUUCAAGUCCCUCGCCUACGACGUUGAGGACGUCCUCGACGAGCUGGAAACUGCUGAUCUCAUCAAGGAGAGCCAAUCGGCGGUGCGUACUAAAAAAAUUGACUUGCACUAUUCUGUUUGAAGGAAAUUUCUUUUCAUAUUUCUUGUAUUUCUUAUUGUAUCAUAUGUGUUAUUAUGGAUUCUCGGAUUCGCUAAACUAGCAUUCAAGCCACUAUAUUCCUCAGACCUAGCUACUGCCCAGUCUUCAACCCCGGAUCAGGUAGGCUGCUAUAAUCGAAGGGCCUAAUUAUGGAGUAUUUAUAUUUUUUUAAACAAGGUGAAAGAUUUGCCAUUUCUAUUGAUAAAGAAGAAGAGAGUUGACCGGUUAAUUAGAGGGAAAUAGGACGAAAACCGAGAUUAGAAACCCCACAAGGGGGCACGCGGACGACCUGGCCACAAAUGCCAAAAACUCGACCGAAGCAUCGAGGACAAGACAACUUCGAUUUUCCCAACAAGUUUUACAAAGAAAGUUGCAAGCCUAGCACCGACCUAGUCCACUGCAACACCUGGAAAGCACCGCCCACUAAAAACCACCCUCAUGGAGUCAUCGUUGUCACAGUGGCCCCGCAGCUUCAACUUCUUUGUGACAUCCAGAAAUCAGCAUAGGCGCAUCUAUUGACGCACCGGACCGUCGGCAACAGAAGGACAAGCCGCAAAUCUGCUCUGCUCGUCACCAUAGUCGUUGCCACGCUCGCCGCAACGCCACACGAACCUCGCGCCGCCGGUCAGACACCUGCCGACCAUGAUGCCGUGCACGUCUAGCCUGCCGGAGGUGCCAAAGGGACCAAGAUCUCAAAGACGAUGCCCCAAGAGGGAAAGCAACGCAAAGAUCUCGACUUUUGCACGAAGAUCUUGACCCGAGAGGACAGGUUGCACAUAACCCCUCAACGGUGCUUCCAAGAAAGAUAGCGACGCCGCCCAAGGGCGACCACCGUGGGCUGGCAAGAAACCAGCCAAGCUUUCGCCUGGAGCAGCAAAGCCUUCACUCCCAUGCAGUUGACCAAAGACAACCAGCACCUCCACUGAACCGUGCACCCCUGCACAUCACUCGCGCCAACACUGCACAGGGACCACCAACGCACUCGCCGCCCCGGACGAGCCACAUCAAAGCACCGCACCAUGCUGCCUGUAGAAGCACGCCCACGCGUAGACUGGUGGAUCUGGGCGCUGAGACAGGGAGCGCCGCCCGGAGAGCCGAAUUGCGAACGGGCCCUGCAACCAGAUCCACCCCACAGGACGCCCUCGGAAGAGCCGUCCACCGGAUCCACGUCGUGGCCGUCGGGACGCCGGCAGCAGCCCCGCCGCCGAAGCCACCACGCCGCAACUACCGAGGGCCGUCGAGACGCCGCCCACGAACAGGGCAAGGAGAGCCGCCAUCCCACCUCACCCGCGCCGGUCGUACGUGAAAGCUAGGGCGCCGCCGUCGGCCGCGCCGUCGAAACCACCACGCCGCCACCACCGAGGGUCGCCUUUCCACCGGAUCCACGCCGUGGCCGCCGAGAUGCAGCCCGCGAGCAGGGCAAGGAGGGCCGCCACCCCACCUCACCCGUGCCGGCCGGACCUGCAAGCGCAAAAUAGUCGCCACGGCUGGGCCGCCGAGCCAGAGGACGAGAGCCUCCCACCACUGAGGCAACAAGCUCCCCGCCGCCGCCGUUCGCGGCCCAGGCUUUGCCCGGCCGCAUCCUCCGGUGGCGGCGAGUGGGGAGUAGGGAGAGGGCGGCGCUGGCGGCCCGACAGCUAGGGUUCCCCCGAGUCGCCUGGGGGCGACGCGGGGGUCGGGCGGGUUGUUGUGUAUCCUGUUACAUUAUGGAGUAUAUAGCUCUACGAUCAAAUUUUUUGUGCAUGUGAAUUUACAUGUUGUAUCCAAUUUCCAUCCCACACUCAAAUCAGCCGGGGGGUAAGUGUUGUCAAACUGCAUGCGAUGGUGGCUGCAGUACUUACGGGAAAAUUGUACCAUUAUGUUUGGGGGAAAGUUGUUAAUGAGCGUUCCAACCUCCAGUUUUGCAACACUCGGCCUAGCUCAAUUGGUUGGGGAAGUGCAUUACAAAACCCAACAUCUGAGAUCUAAUCCUUACAGAGCCAAAUUUAGGUUUUUAUUUAUUUUGGAAGACCAGAUUAUUGUCCUCACGCAUUUAUUAAGGACUAUGUUUGGUGGAUAACCGGAACUAAAAAUCCUAGUACUCGUAUUUAAAAAGCUGCGCGCGUUGGUGCACAGGCCACGAAAGAGAAAUUCUACAUACCCGCGGCAGCAGAUCGGAUCAGAUCUGACUAACCCUCUCGGUGGAGGCAUUGGGCUGGUCUCUGGUCAGAUCCGAUCCGGUUGGUACGAUGUCCAUGCGCAAUGCAUAUGAUCCUGGAUGGAGGGUCCUCGAGGGUAUCGUGUGAAAACCCUACUCUUGGCACAUUGCCAAGGUUGGCGAUGGCGGCGUUUUUUUUUUGCAUCACCCCCUUCUAGAAGGCAUUGUCAUGGAGAAGCUUUAGACCCCAGUUCACUACGUCCGGGGGAAACACUAGAUCAGUCGAUCGGAUGACUUUGAGUAUAAACUAGUAGAAGUAAUUCUAAACUGUAUCAUUUUAGUGAAUGACUUUGAGUUCAUUUUUUUAUAGCUCAAGCUAUUCUUUUCCGGUAACAAUCAACUUCUCCAGCGGAUGACCAUAGCCCACAAUAUGAAGAACAUAAGAGAGGAAACAGACAAGCUAGAAAAACUGGGACAUAAACUCAAUCUUUUGCCUCAUGAAGCACUGACAGAAAGGAGCAGAAGCAAUGAAACAUUUGCAGCCAUCACUAAUGAAGGCAUGAAAACUGGAAUGGUGGGGAGGGAGACCGAAAAGGAAAAAAUAAUCAGCUUGCUAUUUAAAAGUGAAGGUGCCGAGGAUAUCUCUAUCAUUCCAAUUGUUGGGCUUGGCGGUCUAGGAAAGACAACAUUAGUUCAAUCAGUUAUUGGCGACAAGAGGGCCGGUGUCUUUGAUAUCCAAGCCUGGGUUCAUGUGUCUAAAGAGUUUGAUCUGCCCAAAAUUGGGAGGGCCAUCAUCAAAAGCAUAAAUAUUAGUGUCAACCUUAACGAUUGUAAUAUGCAUGUUUUACAAGAAAACCUGAGCAAGGAACUUGCUGGUAGAAGAUACUUGAUUGUUCUAGAUGAUCUCUGGGAAGAGGAUGGAAAGAAACUGGAGGAUUUAAAGGAGAUGCUACAACAUGGCUCUAGUGGUAGCAGGAUUAUAGUAACCACGCGAAACCAAAGAGUCGUGGACAAACUGCACACUGGUUUCCUUGCAAACCAAAGGAAAAUCUGCCCUGUAGCUGAGUCUGACCAAAUCAAUUUGGGCAUUUUAUCACGUGAUGACUGCUGGAAGAUGAUGAAGCAAAGAGCACUUGGUCCUGAUGAUGACCAAACUGGCCUAGAAAAAAUUGGUAUGCAAAUUGUUGACAAGUGCGGGGGUUUACCACUCGUGGUAAAUGCUCUUGGACAAGUAAUGUCGGAGAUACGGACAGUCAAGGCAUGGGAAGAUAUCAGAGACACCAAGAUCGAUUUAGGUUCUACAGAUCAAAAUGAGACAUUAGAGUGCCUCAUGCUGAGCUAUUACUAUAUGAAGUUGGACUUCAAGAUGUGUUUCACAUAUUUGGCUGUCUUCCCCAAGGGCUAUAUUAUGAACAGCGAUCAUCUAAUUCAGCAAUGGAAAGCUCUUGGAUAUAUUCAUGGAACUAAUGAUGGUCAAAGGUGCAUUAACUACCUUCUUGGGAUGUCCUUUCUCCACAUUUCAGGGUUUUCUUUGGUAAGUAUAGAGCUCUAUUUCUAUUAUUCCUGUUCAGCCAUUGAUGGAUUGGGUGCUUACUUCAUACUAUGAAAUAUAUGACAAAUUAUACAUUCUUUUGGUUGAAGACAUCUUACCCAGAGUUUAUGUAAAAUUAUUUAUUUAAAGUUUCAACAACGGUAUACUUUAUUUUGAAAUUCAUUUUGAUAACAAUAUUUUUAGUUUUCAAAUAAUAUUAUUUGGUUUAGGUUGGUUAGUUUCACGAACAUGCAAAAAAAAAAAAAACUUAUAAUCAAAGGCCCUUGCCGUGUCCUUUGUUUUCAUCUUAGUUUCUUUUCUUGUUUUCUCUCCAUACAAUCUAGUUUCCUCUCCGGUACAAAGGGAUGUCCUGGCUGUGUAUAUACACGUCAGAUUAGAGCAAACCUGAACAGGAACGACUAGGACUCAGCCUGAACUAAACAUGUACCACCUCUAAGCUGGAUUAGUACACCGAAGCUAACUGGGAUAUAAACAAGGACACAUCAGUACCACCUUUAAGCUGGAUUAGUUGCUAGCUAACACAUACUCCCUCUGUCCCAAAAUUAUUAUCUUAGAUUUGUCUAGAUAUGAAUGCAUCUAGUCACAUUUUGAUAUUUAGAUACAUCCAUUUCUAAUCAAACCUAAGACAAGAAUUUUGAGACGGAGGGAGUACAUGCAUACACUACGUGGUAGUACUAACACACGUUCUAAGAUUGAAACUGACCAACCUAGUAACCAAGAUUACCUAACAAUUUUCUCUUAAUCUUGAUGCUUGGUCUUUCAUGCUCCUCCGAUCUUGACUCAUUGACGAUUCACCCUUUGUCGACACAUCGACUCGCAGCACAACAAGUCAAAUUGUUGGCUUGGAUAUUCGCAACAUUAAAUGGUAGAUUUUGUUUUACAUAAAAUAGCAAUAGGAUUUAUGUUAUAAUUAGUAGCAGCUCCACUCCAAAAUACUUCCUCCGUUCCUAAAUAUAAGUCUUUUUAGAGAUUUCACUACGGAGCUACAUACGAAACAAAAUAAAUGAAUCUACACUCUAAACUAUGUCUAUAUACAUCCGUAUGUAUUCUCCUAGUGGAAUCUUUAAAAAGAUUUAUAUUUAGGAAUAGAGGGAGUAAAUAUGGACUGAAACUAGUUGAGUCAAACUUCAUGUUCGUCUUUGAUCACCAAUUAAUUAGGCAAAGUAGUUAAGUUAGGUAAAAAAAAGUACCACUUGGUUUAUCGUGAAAACUACCUUCAAAAUAUAUGGUAUAUUUUUUAUUCUAUUUACAUGCUUAACUUUAUAUGGAAGUAACAGUAGAAGUUGUAUUGGUCAAUCACUUUCAAUCUAUACAUUAUACUCCAUCUGUUCCUAAAUAUAGGAUGUUCUGGAAGUUCAAUUCAAAUUGAACAGCCAUAACGUCUUAGAUUUAGGCACGGGGGAGUAUGUUAUAGGUGGGUUUACAUUUAAGUUUACAACAUUAUUUUGAUAAUAGCUACAUCUUUAUUUGGCGGGAAGAUAAUAGCUACAUCUGUAGGUACGUCAUCUGAAUGACAUGGCUUCACAGGAUCUCAGCAUGCAUGAUUUGGUGCAUGAUCUUGCAUCAGUAAUUAUUGCUAAUGAAUCCCUUGUGUUGGAUUGUACUGACCAAAGGAAGUGGAAAAAAACACGUUAUUGCCGACAUGCACAGUUGAUCAACUACCAGAAUAAAUGCAAGGCUUUUAAAGAUCUGCCGAGCAAGAUUAGGUCACUGCAUUUUAGGGAUUCAGAAAAGGUGCAGCUCCACGCAAAAGUAUUUUCUCAGUCCAAGUAUGUACGUGUCUUGGAUUUAAGUGGAUGUUCAGUUGAAGGGCAACCUACUCCGAGCAGCAUAGUGUUGCCAUCUUCCAUUCAUCAACUAAAGCUACUUCGUUACCUUAAUCUCACAGGCUUGCCAAUUACAUCACUUCCAAACUCUUUCCGUAGACUUCGAAAUAUGCAAACUCUAAUUUUCUCCAACUGCUCGCUUCAAACCUUGCCCGAAAAUAUUUCGGGAUUCAACAAGCUUUGCUAUUUGGAUAUAUCUAGCAAUAUGAACCUCAGUAGGCUCCCGUCAUCAUUGGGGAAACUUUCCGAGCUCUCCUUCCUUAACCUAUCAGGUUGCUUUACACUCCAAGAGUUGCCUGAAUCAAUUUGUGAGCUUGAAAAUCUGCAGCACCUAGACAUGUCAAAGUGUUGUGCUCUUCAAAGUCUCCCUGAUAAAUUUGGUAGCCUGCAUAAGCUCAUAUUCCUAAACCUAUCAUAUUGUUACCAUCUUGCCAGACUACCUAAUGAUAUUAGCCUUGAGUGUUUAGAGCAUCUAAACCUAUCGGGCUGCCAUGCUCUAGAAACGUUGCCAAAAUAUGUCGGCAAUUUGCAGAAACUUCGAAUCUUAAACCUUUCCGAUUGCUACAAGCUGACAAUGCUGCCAGAAUCAUUUUGCCAACUUAGGUAUUUGAAACACCUCAAUCUUUCAGAUUGUCAUGGCCUCAAACAACUUCCUGAUUGUAUUGGUAACCUGGAUGAGCUUGAAUCCUUGAACCUAACAAGUUGUGCGAAGUUACAACAGUUGCCCGAGUCAACUGGCAAGAUGACUAAGCUGAAGCAUCUGAAUUUAUCAUACUGUAUAAUGUUAAGGAAUCUCCCAUCAUCGUUAGGCUGUCUUGAGCUUCAUGUAUUGGAAAUCACUGGUGGUACUCCUCUCUCUGAUCUGCCUGAUAGUUUUGGGGACAUGACAACCCUCACCCAACUUGUGGUCCUGGCAGGGCAUCAUAAGCUGAUUAGAAAAGCUCGGGAAAUGCAGAGGCGCCUAAAUUUAUCACCCCGUGGAAGACUUGAUAUACAAGAGAUAGACACAGGAUGUAGAAACAUAAUGGAUACUGCUCCACUGAGUUGUUGCGAGCUUGAUGUUGGAAAUCUUGCACAUGUCAGGCAACCGAAAGAUGUAGACACAGCCAAACUGCAUGACAGAAUGGACCUUCGUCUAUUAUCACUUAAAUGGAAAUUCGAAGGUACUAAGUUACCAGAGUUGAAUACUAUUGCAGCAGGUAAAUCUGUGUUGGAGAGGCUCACACCACCUCGAACUCUUGAACACCUUAUAUUAAGUGGAUACAUGAGCAAAGAAUUUCCCAACUGGAUGUCUUGCAUCUCGUCCUCCCUUCCGUUUCUCACCUACCUCAUGCUUUCUAACCUUGGAAGAUGUGAUGUUCUUCCACCAAUUGGGCUGUUGCCGAAUUUGAGGUGUUUAUAUAUGGUCAAUAUUCCUAACAUCAGGAAAAUUGGCAAGGAAUUCUAUGGAGAGGGCAAACCUUGUCUCAAAUUAAGAUGUAUACAGUUGGAGAAGAUGGAUAAUUUGGUGGAAUGGUGGACCACACAAUCAGGUGAAGAUAAUGAUGAGUUCUUAAUACCUAAUUUGCAUAAGCUAGAUUUAUUGGACUGCCCAAGGUUGAAGUUCAUGCCAUAUCCCCCAAGAAGUAUUGAGUGGAUGUUGGAGAACAGUGACGAGGUGUUGCCAGAACGAGGGUUUGGGAGGCUUAUGUCUUCUACUCUUCCUUAUGGUAUGGGCAUGAUCAAUUGUAAUUUUUCUCAAGACAAGUGGAAGAGACUUCAACACUUUCCCAGUCUUGAUAGUCUUGAACUUACCUCCUCCAACUUUCGGGGUGCCUUCCCAAAUGCCAUUCGAUGCUUGACCUCCCUCAGAGAACUAACGAUGACGUCCAUGAAUGACCUGGAGACAUUGCCAGAAUGGUUGGGGGACCUCGUUUCUCUAGAAUGCUUUAGCAUUAAAGAUUGCAGCCGUGUAACACUUUUGCCUGAAAGCAUGAAGAACCUCACUGCUCUCAAAAUACUUGGUUUGCAUAGAUGCCAAGGCCUGAAUACAUUACCAGAUUGGUUGGGGCAUCUCACUUCUCUGGAACACAUGCAGAUCGAAGACUGCUGCAGUCUAUCAACACGUUUGCCUGAAAGUAUGAUGAACCUCACUGCUCUGAGACUCCUCCUCUUGAAGGGAUUGGAGAGACUAGAAAUAUUGCCAGAAUGGUUGGGACAGCUCGUUUCCCUACGAGACAUGUACUUCUCUCGCAGCCCCAAGGUUACAUCUUUUCCCGAGAGCUUACAAAACCUAACCGCCUUACUGGAGCUACAGAUUUGGAACUGUCCAAGACUGAUAAGGAGGUGCCAAGGGGAGGAUGCCUACAAGAUUUCUCACAUACCAACAGUGCUAUUGAAUGGAAAAAGAUUCAGGGGCGGCAUCGGAGAGCAUGGCUUGGGCUUGUCUUGCCUUACAACCCCAAGCCGUCCCGAGAACAGCUUCGUUCUCGACCGCUUUACCCAUCACGGCAAAUCAAGAGGGUGAAAAGCUCAUCUCUGCUCUGCUCUGCUCCACCAGGCGUCUUAAGCAGGUGCGCUUUUCUAGUUCAAAGCAUGACACUGUUACAUACAACACAAGUACUUCUGUUUAAUUCUGCUCCUCGUGUCUCUGACAGUGACCUGCAGGGAAGAGAUUCUGAUGACCAAUGUUGGGUCCUCCGUCGGGCGGCUGCCAAAGUACCAACGGCACCACCGAGCAACGUUGGGGACUGUCGCCGUCACCGUCGCAGUCCCUGUUGCCUGCAUGGGCAUCCUACUGCGAUCGGGCGCCCCUUCCCGGACCUUGAGGCAGCUGCCACUGUCAUACACCAUCACCAGGUAAACGUACGCACAUGCUCUAGUCUCAAAGAGUCAAAGCACGGCACCAUUAUAGCCAGCUGAUGUCUGCCGUAAAUGGCGUGCAGGGGAGGAAUAAUAUUCCGAUCACCUCCGUGUAGCGGAUAGUGCCUGUCCGGCUGCCCCGAAGCCGUUUGAGCUGUCCUACAGGGGCCGGUUCCCGAUGCUAUUAACGACCGGUGAGCUUGGCACCGGCGCCACGAGGAACUGGAUGCUGUUCAACAACAACUACAUGGUGCAGGUGGACGGGGCUUUGUGCCUGGCGAUCCGGCCUACUGGGCCCGGCGGCAUGCCGGUGGACGGCGAGCCGGCGGUGGCAAUCGGCACGAAGCAGCUGGAGUGUUCGACGUGGAGAAGCAUGUGCUCGGGUUCAGCAUGCUGCUGGACUUCUCUUUGUCCAGUUGUAAGCUCCACGUUCUUCAGGAACUAGACAGCGCACCUCUCACUUGAGCAACCGCCUCCAAUUAAGUACCAAUCAUUAUACUUCAAAAAUGCUAAACAUAUAAAGAGUUACACAUGGUUACACGCUGGUUAGGAUUCUUUCUUCCUAACUAAUCUCUUUCCCCUAAUUUUUAAAGGGAUGGGGCCUCAUUCCUCUUAACCUCCAAUCAAAAUCCACCUGCCUGUGAAACCCCUGUAAGUUUAUGUACGUGUAGCAUUACUGAUUGUACCCCCAAGCAGUGCACAGUAAAACAAGUUCUUGUUGGCGUCUUAAUAAGAACCUACUCUUUCAUCCAAAGUUCCAAACUCGCCUCGAGACAAAUCGGCAAAAAUGGGAUAAACGCUUUGACAAAAUGGUAUGGCUUGUAGAUCCGUGGACACUAGCAUCCAGGGCAUAUGUUUAUAGGAGUUGGCCAUGGGUGCAGGGUCUAGCCCACUGCCUAGUUUUCCUAGAAAAACUCUAACUGAUCACCUAAAAGUUAGUGAAGAAAAAAAAAUUCACUAAUGGUGGAGAAAAAAAUGGAUUUUGUGUCUUAACUGAAUGAUUUCAAAUGGAGUCAUAGCUGAGCUCAUCAAGCCCCAAAGUUGCUAAAACUCCGGCCGUGUACAUGCAUCUCCGCACUAUGAAAAAAAAACAGGCAAACUACAUCACCAUCCCCACCAACAAUCACUGAUCGGCCAAAAUGUCGAAGAAGUUUAAUUUUACAUUGUAGGCAUUUCAUCAAACACUUGGUGGUCAUGGUGUUUCUUGCCAGCGGCCGCCGUCGGACAUGCCAGAGCAGUGCCGGUAGCCGUAGCCGGAGAGAAUGCACGAGGCGGCGGGAGGGCGGCACGCCGUCGCUAGAGAGGCGCUGGCCACCCCCGCAGCCUUUGCCGCGGUUGGAGCCGGGGGUUAUCCCCAAGCUUUUCUUCGGCGCAGGGGUCGUUUUUGGCGGCGACAAGCCGGCAGCGGGGUUCGGGGUAUCCAUUCCGGCGGGUGGUUCGAUCAUCGGUGGCAGCGGCGAGGCGAGGAGACGACUAUAGCAGAAAAGAGGUGGCGGGUGAGAGGGGUGGCUUUUCCUCGGCCAAGCCCACGAUGAGGAUAUUUAGGGAGAUUGUGGGGUUUUUUCGACGACGAAGGAUAUUUAUUUUCCACUAACCAUUUUAAUGGAUCGACUAGGUGCGGCAUAAGGGAGAAUAGUUGAAUUAAUUUUUUUCUUUAGCACCAGAUAGGGGAUCAGUAAGAGUUGCCCUUAUGGCCUGUUGUUACAUGAGUGUUUUUUUAGUUGGACAUGGGUGCUUCAGGGUCGGGUCAUAGCGGCAGUGCGUGCACACGAUAUUGAAGUCCAAAAAAAAAUAUUUUGCUGUUUCGCACCUCUUGUGCAUAUAAACACCAUUCAACUCAAGUAUCAUGUCAUAUAAUUUCAAUUUUUAUAUCUUUUAACCACACACAGUUCAACAACAUUUUAAAUCUGUAAUUUUUAAGUUUAAAUUCCAACCGAGUCUACAGAAGAAUGAAACCAAAAUAUGUUUCAUAUCAUCUCAAAUAGUUCAUCAUAAGAAGUCACAGUUUAUCCUACAAUAGAAUAUAGAUCAUCUAAAAGUAAGAAAUUAUUCUUAAUUAAACGUCAUUCAAAAGCUAAGUUUAUCCUUAAGUCAGAAUCACCAAAACACAUAGUUUAUCGCAAAAUGGUCAAACACUUCUUCGAUACAACCCUCUAAACACAUAAAUGGAGGAGAUCUCUCCAUACAACUAAAUAUAAAGGACAGGAUUGUUUUUUCUUAAAAUGCGCCGUCCACAUCAAGUAUCGGUACACGGUAUGUAUAUGUAACGCCCAUACACGGCCCGGCAUACGUUGCAUACCCAUACAGAACUUAUUUCUCAAAUUUGUGAAUCUGUUUUAUUUCUCAAACUUUUUGUUAACUUUCUUAUUGAAACUUUUUUUUAGAUCUACGAAAAAAUUCUAACCCGUGAACAUUUUUCCAAAAUCUAAGAUCUUUUCAAAUUCGUGAAUGCUUGGGUCUGUCUCACAGACACCCGACGGGAAAACCCAUUUUAAACUUUCUUAUUCUUUUUGAAACCUGUUCAAAAAGUUGAAAUAUUGUUUGGAAUAUAAAAAAAAUUGCUUGUUCGCAAAUAUUGUUUACAAUUUCCAAAAAAUAUGGAAUUACCAAAAAUGUUCCCAUUUGAAUUAUUUGUUCAGAAAUUUAAGAAAUGUUUGUGUUAUUGAAAAAUAUGCGGUUUGCGAUUCAUUUUCAGAAUUUUCAUCAAUUGUAGGGAAUUUGUUAAGAAAAUUUGUAAAAGCAUUCAGGUUUGUAAAAUUUUCAUACACGAUUGAAAUUCUAAAAUUGUUCACAAAUUUUAAGAAAUGAGUAGGACAUCAGAAAAAAUUCAUGGUGAUUAAUAGUGACAAAAAAAAUACAAAUCAUAGAAGCAUUUAAAUUAGAAAAAAUAUAUGCUCUUGGAUGUAAACAUACAGCCAAUUGAUGGUUGUCGAAAAUCAACAUGAUUCUUCUGGCCUACCCGAAAACCCUCCAUUCAACAUGUUCUCUUGUAGGACAUCCUUAAAAUGACCACAACUUUUGCAAACAGGUGGGCAUGCCCAUGGUACUUAUCCAUGUCUGGUUUAAAUGAUUUUCAAUACCCAAGUUGGACGAAUGCAUUCAAAUAGUGACUUUUAAAAAAUUACGGAUGUUGAACCUCUCCCUCGCAUCGCUCUCCCGAGGGCGACUCGGGGGCGACCUAGGGUUCCCCGCGCCGCCACCUCCCCCUCCCUCUCCUCCUCGUUGAUGCCAGAGGUGGUCGCCGGGGCCCCCGUGCGGCUGCCAGUGAGGGUGGCAGCGAGGCCUUUAGCCGCUCCCAUUCGGUGGAGAGGGCCUGGGUGUGAGACGUCGGCUUCGUUGGUUUGGAGGAUGCUCCUUCGGUGGCGGGGGGCAUUCAUCAGUGAGCGUUGCCGGAUCCCCUCGGCUGCAUGGACAGCGAGGUCCCGGUGGGCGUUUGUCGUGGCGUGAGGACAGGCUCCAGGCUCCCUCGUCAGAUCUGAGGUGCUCCGGCUCACACACGGCACGCGACCUCUAUCCGACCUAGAUCUCCGGCAUGCGCACACGCCGUUAAUGCUGAUGGAUGUUUCGAUGGUGGCGGAAGGGAUAUUUUCCCCUGGCCGUUGGUGGCGUUCACGUCAUCGAUGGCGUCCUAGACGCCAUUCCCUCCUUGGUGGCGGCGUAGAGGUACAUCUUCCCCUGUCACCCCACUUUCCCUGGGCCUAUGUGAAAACCCUAGCCCCUUAGCUAUGAAGUGGCAUCACUAUGGCGUUGCCACCUUCCUGAAGGCAUCGCCUUGGGCAUGGGGAUGGUGGGUGUUUGUGGCGAGCUCGGCCAAUUCUUGUGGUGGCCAUCCUAUCUUUUGCGUAGUAGCUCUAGGAAAGUUUGUUAUCUCUUUCGGCCUGUGUGCUCCUUCCCCAAGUUCUCCAGUGAAAUUGAUGGUGUGGUGCCCUCAAUCCUGGGCGAGAGGGGAUAGAGUCUCAUCUUCGGCGAAUGUUAUGUGUUGGUUGUGAGGGAAGAUGGUCCUGGUGAGCGCCAGCAUAGUACGGUGGCCGCAGUGUUCCCCUUUCGGUCGUGUCUCUGGUAGCAACUUCACCACCCUACAGCUUCCUAAUAUGCUUCGUGCUUGAGGCGUCGGCGAUUCCUCUGCUUCGGAUGCACUGACUAGCGAGACCUCGUUGUUGUAGCUUUUGCUCUUCGCUUCAUAGUCGUUUGCUUACCUUCUUCACCUUGUACUUGUCAUUUGGGGGUGCAUCCCCUGUUUCUUCUUCCUUUUGGUUUGUUUGUAUUGUUGAAUGUAUUAUGGCCGGUUGAUGGCUUUGUAAUUUAAAGUGGGUUAUGUCCAACCCUUCUUGUGCCUGGCCACACCUUUUCUUUAAAAAAAAUGACUGAUUCAUUCCAAUAGUGAUUUUAAAACAUGUACACGUGUUUUUGAAAAACAAAUCAUGAAUUUUAAAAAUAAUUACACAAUUUAAAAAAAUCAUGUAAUUUAAAUAUAUAUUCAGAGCAUUGAAAAACUAUGUUAGAAAAAUAAAAAAAAUUAUACAAUACAAAUAUUUAUUAGCAUAUUCUACAAGAAGGUUCUGUACAUUUAAAAUAUGGUAACUUGUAUUUGAAAUACAUUUAACAUGUACUCCCUCCGUUCCAUAAUAUAAGUCUUUUUAGAGAUACACUAGAAGACUACAUACGGAUGUAUAUAGACAUACUUUAGAGUGUAGAUUCACUCAUUUUGCUCCGUAUGUAGUCACUUAGUGAAAUCGCUUAAAAGAAUUAUAUUUAGGAACGGAGGGAGUAUUUGAUAAAUUGUUCAAAUCGUCUAUUUGAGAAAAUAUCUAUCUUGUAUUUAAAGAAUGCUCAACAUGAAUGACACGUUGCUGCACAUGUAUAUGAAAAACGUACAAAACAUGUAUUAAAAAUGGAAGAAAUAAAACGAAAAACAAAACAAAGAAAACUAGUAAAGAGACAUAAUAAAAAAUUGCAUGAAAGGUCCUAUAGAACUUCCGAACCCUGGUUUAUUGGGCCCGCCCAUUAAGGCAAAGCCCACCAUACGUUGGAUGUGACAACAAACUACGUCUCACAAUCGGCACGAUAUAGCCCUAGCCGCUGGUAGCUCCUAUAGGACGCAUAAUACGUCCAACUGAGUCAGCAUGCACAAUGAGCUCCGAGUGAGCGACCCAGUGGACCGGUCCAUUAUAGCGGUAAACAGAUUCUCGGUUUUCAAAAAAACUUUUGUAAGUUUUUAAGUUGGUUUUACGGUUUUGGAAACCUUCUAGACUGUUUUCUGAACCGAUUUUUUUGGGAUUUUUAGUUCUUCUCCUUUUUGUUUUUUUUUGUUUCUAUUUUUUCUUUCCAUUUUUUAUUUUCUUUCUAUUCCAAAGAUUUAUAAGUAACUAAACAGUUUUUCUGAAGAAUGUUUGCAUUUAUUAUAUUUUAUUCAGAUUUCAAAAAACGAUUGAGAUUGUAAAAAUUUGUUCUCAAAUUAGAAAUAUGUUCGCAUUUCUAAUAUUUUUCCAUCUUUUUCUAAAUUUGUUCAGAAACUUAAAAAAUGUUCGUUCUUUAAAGAAUGUUCUAUUCUUUUUAAAAUGGACGUAUUUUAAAUAAUUGUUUGUAAAUUCAAAUAAUGUUCACAUAUUUAAAAAAUUCAUUUGGGAUUCUAAAAAAAUGUUCUUGGUUUCAAGUAUUAUUCACCUAUAUAGAAAAGUGUUUAUGUUUUAAGUAUUAUUCACCUAUAUAGAAAAUAUUCGCAUUUCCAAAAAAUUCAGGAUUUUCGAAUUGUUCAGUCUAAAAUUUUGUUCUGAAUCUACAAAGUUGUCCCAGUUAUCAAGUUUUGUUUACCAAUUUAAAAAAUGUUCGUGUUGUCAAAGCAUGUUCAAACAAAUUAUGAAAUUCUGAACAACUUUUUAAACCACGAAUAAAAUUUUAAUUUCGGAACAAAUAUUUGGAAAAUAGAAUAUUUCAUGAAAUUACGAAAAACUGAAACCGCGGACAUUUUCUGAAAUCAUGAACAAAAUUAUGAAAAUGGAACAUCAUGAAGUAUAAAUUAAAAGUAAAACGCAAACAUUUUCUGAAAUUCCUAAAAACUUUUUCAAACACGGACAUUUUCUAAUUGCGGACCAAAUUUUCCAGCCACGAAUUUAUUUUGGAAUUCCAGAAAAUAUAUUAAUAUGGAUAUUUUUUUAAUUUGUAAUAGGUUAAUUUUUUUUGAAAUUCCUGGCCAUGUAGUUAAUGUGCGAAUAUAUUUCAAAACGUGGAACAUUUGUAAACUCCUGAACAAAUUUGAAAAACACGAACAUUGUUUGAAACUCCCGAACAAAAUUUGAAAACUUAAAAAUCGUUUGGAAAGGCAAACCUUUUUUCGAAACUCCCGAACAAUAAUUUGGAAAAGCGAACAUUUUUUGAAAUGUUUCAGUAUUUUCUGAAACACAAACAUUUUUUGCGAACAAAUUUUGAAUAAACUCAAACAUUUUUAAAAAUAUGAGCAUAUUUUUAUUAUAUUAUAAUUUUUAAUAUAGAACAUUGCAUUAAACUAUUAACAAAUUUCAAAAAAACGUUCACAAUCUUUGGAACACAAGCGCUUUUUUUUAACUCCUUUGAAUGAAAUCGAAAACGCGAACAUAUUCUGAAAUUUGCAAACAAUUUUUGAAAUCUAGAACAUUCUUUGCAAACGUGAUCAUUUUUUAAAAUUCACGAUUUUUUUUUAAAAGAUGAGUCAUUUUUGGAAACGCGAACAUUUUCUGAAAACACGAAUGUAUUAACAAACAACUGAAAAAUAGAAAAAAGAAAAUUUGAAAGAAUGAACAAAAAAGAGAAAAAGGAGAGAAAAGCAAAAAAAAAAAGAAUAAAGUCGUCAAAGAAUCAGAAAUAGGAAAAUUUUGAAAAAUUCUAUUCAACAACUAUCUAGAAGGUUUCUAAACUGGAAUCGAAGCAAACAUUAAUGAGCCGGCCAUAAUGCAUCCCUCGUUCGUGAACCCUGUGCGAAACCUAAACAACUUAACGUAGAGAGCGUCAAACAGAAUUUUGCCUGACGGCUGUCCAACUGCUUCCAUGACUCUCGUGCUUGUGUAUAAGGCCGCAAAUCACCACAUCCGCCGGAAAAACAAGACUUUGCUACUGAUUUCCAAUUCUUUGCUAGCGCUCGACUCCUGUGGAAUUCCAUUAACAAGCUUAAAAGAAAGCCUUUUAUUUGGUUUUUGAGAUACUAGUUAUUUAUAGCUUAAGUUCUAUAUUUCACUCCGUGGGCCGGCUAAUUAAUUCAAGUAAUUCCUGGAGGGGAAUCAAUCGAAGAGAUUGCCUACCCAUGCUACAAUUCCUUACUCAAAAGGACUAGAGUGCUAAGCAUAGCCUUCGCCCCUUCUCCCUAUUUAGUCAGCAGUUGUCCAUCGACUAGUCUUACUUAUCGCACCGUCCGGCGAAAAGGGACCUCUCAGUGAUAGACCCACGAGAGCGUGAAUGCCAGUGACAAAAGAAGUGCGAGAAAAUCUGGGAAGUGAGGGAUGCCCUUCCUGGGUAUCACGAGCGGCGAGGCAGGUACGGUUGGAGGAAAAGCAAGACAACAGGGUGCUAGGUUUAAGCAAGUAUUGUCCGAUUAUUACUCUAGUAGCAAACAUGUCCGUGUGUUGCAACAGAAGAAUAAGAAUGCAUGACCUUAAUUUUAAAAGAACACAGUAUACACAAGGAAAUAUAUAUUAUGAACUAAAAAUGAAGAAAAACUUUAGAUUUUUGCGCAUAUGAAUCAAGAUAUGAAGCUCCAUUCAAGCCAUGUAGUAUCAUGGCAUACACCAGAAGGAAAAGGACAAAAAAGCAUGCGCACUGAUAAAACGAAUUCAAAUUUCCAUCCACUAAUGAUAUAGUGGUAGAUAGAGGGGAGACAAAAUAACAUUGUCACCUAGAGACAUAGGAAGUAUCAAUAUGUGCCUAACAAAGUGCUACACCUCUGCAUAAAUAUUCAACAACUAAUGUAAAUACAAGCUAACCUUGAUUGAUCAAUGUGAGGUUGCACAUGUAAUUGAUGAGUUCCUCCUCUUGCAUACGUGGGCCAAAGUGAGAUUUGGUUUUCUUGUGCACUGAAAGCACCAUGGACAAUAAUGACUUUGGCCUUGAAGAUGAACAAAGAAAGGUAACAUGUUACUAAAAAUGAAAAAGGAUAGCAUGUUGUCCGGAUAUGCAUUGCGCUAAGGAUUCUGAUUCUUUAUAAAUAUGUUUAUUGCACGCUAGGAGUUGUGCCAAAAUCCAUAUCAUGUUCGACAGAAGCACAUGAACUGAUAGAAAAUUCAGAAUUAGAAGAAUAUGAAAAGUACCUUAUUCCUUCUCCUGGUAGAGGAGUAACUUCUUGUGCAAUCAUAUGAAAAUUGAUUUAACUGGGUGCAUGGACUCUCAGCUGGGGCACCAGAUCGGACAGAAAGAAAUUGAAAUUAAAGCACUUAUUAUAAAAGGCUUUAUACUUGACUCAAUCCAACUGGGUUUGUCCACCUGUUAGCUGACUUAGCCGGAGUUCUCGCCAGCAAUCGAUCGAGUCAUGUACCUGUAUAUAGCCUGCUUAGCAUGUAGCUUCGUAAACAUAUACCCAUCGUGUGCAUGCAUAUUCUUUGUUAUUCUAAGCCAUAUCAAUCAACGCCGGCAGCUAGUAGCAAAGCAUGUCCUUGUAUGCUAAUCCAGAUCAAACAAUUUAGUCAGCACUUUAGUACUAGCAAAGUGUGUACGUCUGCCCAGAGAAGAAUGGCUCCAGCUGCUUGCUUGCGUAGUUUUGUAGGCUUGCGUCGCUGUAACAUCGAUCGACUCACGAGAAAUCAAGCCAGUGUGAAACACCUGAGCCGCCGUCGCAGCUGGUGCCUCCUUGGACACGGCGCUCCCUUCCAACGACUGUCUCCUCUCUGCUACG
rnacentral:lncRNA from 1 species